CUUUUCCUACGGGGGGCAGCAGUGGGGAAUAUUGCACAAUGGGGGAAACCCUGAUGCAGCGACGCCGCGUGAGUGAAGAAGUAUUUCGGUAUGUAAAGCUCUAUCAGCAGGGAAGAUAAUGACGGUACCUGACUAAGAAGCCCCGGCUAACUACGUGCCAGCAGCCGCGGUAAUACGUAGGGGGCAAGCGUUAUCCGGAUUUACUGGGUGUAAAGGGAGCGUAGACGGCAGCGCAAGUCCGAAGUGACAGCCCGGGGCCCAGCCCCGGGACUGCUUUGGAAACUGUGAAGCUGGAGUGCGGGAGG
rnacentral:rRNA from 1 species